rnacentral:rRNA from 1 species
AUUGAACGCUGGCGGGAUGCUUACACAUGCAAGUCGAGCGCGUGGCGGACGGGUGAGUAAUGUCUCGGAACCUGCCCGAUGGAGGGGGAUAACUACUGGAAAGGGUGCUCUACCGCAUACUAUUAGAUCUGCCAAUAUCGGAUUAGCUCGUUGGUGGGGUAAAGGCUCACCAAGGCAACGAUCCGUAGCUGGUUUGAGAGGAUGACCAGCCACACUGGGACUGAGACACGGCCCAGACUCCUACGGGAGGAAGCAGUGGGGAAUUUUGGACAAUGGGGGAAACCCUGAUCCAGCCAUCCCGCGUGUAUGAAGAAGGCUUCGGGUUGUAAAGUACUUUUGGCAGAGAAGCGGUAUUUGCAGAAGAAGCACCGGCUAACUACGUGCCAGCAGCCGCGGUAAUAC